rnacentral:lncRNA from 1 species
GCUCACACUUGCCCGCUCUAUUUAUAUGCUGCACUUUUUCAGGCCGAAGCAGGAAGCUGCAAGGCACAAGACGAGCAGCCUUUCUAACUUUGCUAUUUCGACGUGUUUAUCUUGCUGCAAACAGCCAAGAGUUAUCUUUCCUUUUAUACUGGAAGUUUCUUUCUCCAUGUCUCCACCUUUGUCUGCUGCCACUCAGGAAAUCCCUGGACAUCAAUGGGCAGAGUGAGGGAGUCAGAUGCUACAAAGAGAAGACAAGAGAGGGGGCCCAGAUCCAGGCCCCCUCUCAGCCCUGCAAUGAGCAGUCCAGGACAGCUGGCACUAAUUGGCACUUUCCUUGGCGGCAGAUGAAGUGUGGAGGAGACAAUGGGGCCUGGGCUGGCUCCUCGUGCCUGGAGGUGAUCCCCAGCACUGAGACCAAAGCUCACUGAGAGCACAGUGAGGAGAAGCUGCAGCGCCUGCUCUGCUCAGAGCAGAAACCCCCAAGUUUCAAG